rnacentral:lncRNA from 1 species
UGAAAGUGGUGCCUGUCUCUGAGGCAGGUGUGUGUGAGGAAGACAGAUGGACACUACACUGGAUCUCCUCACGUGUGCAGGCGGUAUAAUUUUUGGAUGCUCCAGACCUUGUAUGACUACUUCUGGUGGGAACGACUAUGGCUGCCUGUGAACUUAACCUGGGCUGAUCUAGAAGACAAAGAUGGACGUGUCUAUGCCAAAGCCUCAGAUCUCUACAUCACACUCCCCCUGGCCCUGCUCUUUCUCGUCAUUCGAUACUUCUUUGAGCUGUGAGCAUGCCCUCAAACCUUCUCUGGUUGUCAGCCAACCUAUAGGGCUUCGUGUUGGUCUUCUGAUACUUAGUUCUGGACAUUGGUGUUCUGGCCACUCAGGAGCCCAUGCUCCCCCUCCCCCAGCGCACCAUUGUCUUCCUGAGGCUGAGGACUCAGCAUCCCCAGCCUUGUCCUUCAAUGGUUUUUUGUUUUCAUCCUGCACCCGCCUCCUCGCCUGGUCAAUAGUGAACAUAGGCAGCUUUGUCAGCUGUGGGCAGCCCAGGAGGCCAGAAGAAAGGUGGAUGCCAGGGAAUUUGGGAAACUGAGGCCCAG